rnacentral:lncRNA from 1 species
GAGGAACACCAUCUAAUGUGAUGUAUAAUCUAAAUAUUUUCUUGAUAGCAAACUUAAACUGAAAGCAUCCAUCACAUCCCUACAACUUAUCUAAAACUUAACCGAGGAACAUCAUCCAACAUGAACAUCAUCCCUACAACUUAAUUAAAACUGAAAGCAUCCACCGUCAUCAUCAUCAUCAUGAAUAGGAACAUCAUUAUCAUCAUUGCAGUAUACUUGCCACACACCCAUAUAAUCCUCCAUUUAUCUUUUGCAUCUAUAAACAAAAAAAACUGUUAACACACAAUGCAUUGACAUGAUGCAAAUAGUGAUAGAGGCAGGAUAUUGGUCAUUGUAUCGGCUAGUAUAUCCCUAUAUGCAAACUCCAGAAAUUUAUCUACACCAGCUGAGUACUGUCUACUUUCUCUAGUAAAUCACUAUGAAGAAACUGACCUUGUCAGAUAAAAAAUGAAGUAGUAUUGGUAAUUGUCAAGUCCAUCCUCUCAUCUGCUUGCAUGCCACAUACCUACACUGGUACACAUGAUAAUUAGCUAAAUAUUUUUUUCUUUGAUAUUGAAAACAAACCGUGAUAAUUUGUGUGCUACAAAUACAAUAGAACACCGUAUUUUGCGGGCGACGAACAACUCUGGACCCAGAAAAGGAUGGUUGCAAAUCAAUAGUGUGUAUACUGUUCUAGGAAAAUCUUAUUGGGCAAACCAAACUAAUUUAUAUUGAGAUUGCUAAAAGAGUAACUAAUUUAUAGUGGAAUGGCUAAAACAGUACCUUAAUCUUAUAGGGACAACUUGUAGGCGCGUAUUUCCUUGCAGUGUACUUCAUGAGUACAGGCUCAUAGUACUAAAAAAGAGUAGUACAUCACAGGUUAAUCCUUGUAUCUAGUUUGUUCUUUCCCUUUCCGUAUGGGAUUUGCAAAACAAAAACAUCUGUUCUAUCCAUACUUCAUACAUAUAAUAGGCAGAAUAGAACUUGUUCCUGACUUUUAGUGCCGAAUAGUACCCGAAAAAAUACACCUAUAGAAGCACCGUGUCCUGAACUAAUGAUAACCACAAUACAAAUAUCCUUUUUAGUUGAAAAGACAAACUUUUUAAUAUUAAAAUAUUCUCAUGAUUUUUUAAACAGGAUACAACGAGAUACCAUGUUACCACAAAGGAAGUAAAAAAGAUGGUACAAUUAUGCUUUAUUUGGUUUGAGAGGACAUACGAAUAAUGAAUAUAAUUUGUAUUGGCCACAAUACUGGGAUAACAAUACAUCAGCUCCCAACUGUAACAAAAGUACCUAUAUUAUUUUUGGGAAGUAAGGGAAAGCAUCUAACUUACCGCCAAAUAGUGGUUGAAAUAUUCAUCAUUUGGUACUAAAAACACCUUGCUGAUGAUAUAGUCAUACAUAAUAAUCAUAUCUGACUAACAGAACUUGAAGAUCAGUUUUUAUUUCACAAGGGAAAAGACAGCAAUCUGCAAAAUAUAAAUCAAUAACUAACCAUUAAAAAGGAAAAUAAAUAAUUCUUCUCAGUUUCAAAGCCAACAUGGUAUCACAUAAUAAUACCAUAUACAUACCCUGGCUGCAGCAUGUGCACUGUAAGCCAGGUAGACUAAGUUAAGAUAUACAAUUGUAAAAGCCAUGUAUAUAUAGUGCGUGAUAUUCAACUUGAAUUACAAUCGCUUAUAUGUUGUGUUAAAUUAAUUGCUGCACUUUAUUGUUGUUUAAAGCAUAUCAAUUUGCAUAGUAUAGAGAGGCUAGAUCAUUACCCCUGCCAGAAAUGUUAUUGGACGAAAACGACAUCAGAAAGGUAGGAAGGCGCUUGAAUGAAUUCGCGUACUUUGCUGAAACUGGGCACCUCCUGAAAGUGAUGAGUUGUCAUUAGUCACCAAAGAGCUAACACCAAUGGUUGGUCCAGAUGAAUUUGUAGUACUGACUGGAACGCUACCAUUCAUGUCCCUGGGAAGAAGUCCAAGGUUGGAGCAUGGGGCGCGGGACUCGGAGGUCAGCAGUGUUGAACUGAACUACCACCUUGAAGACUCUUGCUUAAUAGGAUCGAACGUCUCUGGAAACUAGUAAGGAUCUUCAGAUAUUUUCGCUAGAAACUGCAAAGUGUAAUUAUCAGUAAGAUGUUGAAGCAAUGCAAGCGAAUCAAGAAAAUAGUCACCACAAAAUUUCUUAACCAAUGAGCUUAUGAACCAACAGUCUCAGGACGUCUAAUUCUAAGUUACUAACUUCUACGUCUCAAAAUCAGGAGGACUCGUUUCACGACAUCAGAGAUAAAAAUAGCCAUCAUCAAAAAGCAAGUGUCAAUCCGAUCUAGAGAUAACACAAAUAGAGAUGAAAUAUGGCAAGAAAAGUUGACAGAGACAAGAUAUUUCAUUUGAAUCACGUACUAGCACAUGGAUACAGCCUAGGCAAAGAAUGAGCAGACUUGGUGGGCAGGUUUGAGCCUGUUCAUGGCCUUACUUUGGAUUCGCCGUUGGUCGCAGUGGAGCAGUGACAAGGGGCGGCGCACCAGGAUCCAGGGUCGCAGGGGAGUGGUGAUGAGGGGCGGCGCGCCGGGGUGGAGGGUCGCAGGGGAGUGGUGACGGGAGGCUCGCCGGCAUGUAGGUCGCGGCCGCGCAAAGGAGUCGCAAUGUCUGACGAUGGGCGGCGGCCGGCGUGGGAGGACUCG